rnacentral:tRNA from 1 species
GAUGAUGUGGCUCAGUUGGUAGAGCAUGGCGCUUGCAAUGCUAGGGCUGUGGGUUCGAUUGCAACAAUUUCA